GUAGGUGGCAAGCGUUGUCCGGAAUUAUUGGGCGUAAAGCGCGCGCAGGUGGUUCUUUAAGUCUGAUGUGAAAGCCCCCGGCUCAACCGGGGAGGGUCAUUGGAAACUGGGGAACUUGAGUGCAGGAGAGGAAAGUGGAAUUCCACGUGUAGCGGUGAAAUGCGUAGAUAUGUGGAGGAACACCAGUGGCGAAGGCGACUUUCUGGCCUGUAACUGACACUGAGGCGCGAAAGCGUGGGGAGCAAACAGGGAUUAGAUACCCUGGUAGUCCACGCCGUAAACGAUGAGUGCUAGUGUUGGGGGGGUUUCCCGCCCCUCAGUGCUGCAGCUAACGCAUUAAGCACUCCGCCUGGGGAGUACGGUCGCAAGACUA
rnacentral:rRNA from 1 species